GACGAACGCUGGCGGCGUGCUUAACACAUGCAAGUCGAGCGGUAAGGCCCUUUCGGGGGUACGACGAGCGGCGAACGGGUAGGAGUAACAACGUGGGUGGACCUCGCCCUCCAGCUCUGGGAGUAAGCCUGGGAAACCGGGGUACCGUAAUAACCGGAUAUGACUCCAUGACGCAUGUUGUGGGGUGGAAAGCCUUGUGCGGCUGAGGAUGGGCCCGGCGGCCUAUCAGCUUGUUGGUGGGGGUGAUGGCCUACCAAGGCGACGACGGGUAGCCGGCCUGAGAGGGCGGACCGGCCACACUGGGACUGAGACACGGCCCAGACUCCUACGGGA
rnacentral:rRNA from 1 species